rnacentral:ncRNA from 2 species
CAUCCAUCGAGAUCCGGCGGAGGGACAGGCCCUUUGAUGCCGGGGCAACCUGAUGGGACCCGCGCUUGCCGCGGCGUCCAUCGCGGUGCCAAGUCCUGCGGGGACCUGCGAGUCCACCGGAAGAUGGUGA